rnacentral:rRNA from 1 species
GUCAGUGUCUUGUGAAAGCCCACGGCUCAACCGUGGAACUGCAGGGCAUACUGCCAUCCUUGAGGUCGGUAGAGGUUGCCGGAACUGUAGGUGUAGCGGUGAAAUGCGUAGAUAUCUACAGGAACAUCAAAGGCGAAGGCAGGCGACUGGGCCGAAUCUGACGCUGAGGUACGAAAGCGUGGGGAGCAAACAGGAUUAGAUACCCUGGUAGUCCACGCCGUAAACGAUGUGCACUAGAUCCUGGAGGUUCUGACACCAUCGGGGUCGAAGCUAAAGUGUUAAGUGCACCGCCUGGGGAGUACGGUCGCAAGGCUAAAACUCAAAGGAAUUGACGGGGGCUCACACAAGCGGUGGAGCAUGUGGCUUAAUUCGAAGCAACGCGAAGAACCUUAUCCUGGGUUUGACAUGUACGGAUGCCCUUGGUGAAAGCCGAGUAAGCUGCUCAUUCGAGUGAAACGUACACAGGUGCUGCAUGGCUGUCGUCAGCUCGUGCUGUGAAGUGUUGGGUUAAGUCCCUUAACGAGCGAAACCCCUGUCGUUAGUUGCCAGCGCGCCUUCGGGUGGCGGGGACUCUAACGAGACUGCCGGUGUCAAANCCGGAGGAAGGCGGGGAUGACGUCAAGUCCCUCAUGGCCUUUAUGCCCAGGGCUGCACACGUGCUACAAUGGCGCGCACAGACCGAAGCAAUACCGUAAGGUGGAGCAAAUCGGAAAAAACGCGCCCCAGUUCGGAUUGUGGUCUGCAACUCGACCACAUGAAG